AUUGAACGCUGGCGGCAGGCCUAACACAUGCAAGUCGAGCGGAUGAAGGGAGCUUGCUCCUGGAUUCAGCGGCGGACGGGUGAGUAAUGCCUAGGAAUCUGCCUGGUAGUGGGGGAUAACGUCCGGAAACGGGCGCUAAUACCGCAUACGUCCUGAGGGAGAAAGUGGGGGAUCUUCGGACCUCACGCUAUCAGAUGAGCCUAGGUCGGAUUAGCUAGUUGGUGGGGUAAAGGCCUACCAAGGCGACGAUCCGUAACUGGUCUGAGAGGAUGAUCAGUCACACUGGAACUGAGACACGGUCCAGACUCCUACGGGAGGCAGCAGUGGGGAAUAUUGGACAGAGGGCGAAAGCCUGAUCCAGCCAUGCCGCGUGUGUGAAGAAGGUCUUCGGAUUGUAAAGCACUUUAAGUUGGGAGGAAGGGCAGUAAGUUAAUACCUUGCUGUUUUGACGGUACCAACAGAAUAAGCACCGGCUAACUUCGUG
rnacentral:rRNA from 1 species